rnacentral:rRNA from 1 species
AUUGAACGCUGGCGGCAGGCCUAACACAUGCAAGUCGAACGAGUGGCGGACGGGUGAGUAAUGUCUGGGAAACUGCCUGAUGGAGGGGGAUAACUACUGGAAACUGUAGCUAAUACCUCAUACCAUCGGAUGUGCCCAUAUGGGAUUAGCUAGUAGGUUGGGUAAAGGCUCACGUAGGGGACGAUCCCUAGCUGGUCUGAGAGGAUGACCAGCCACACUGGAACUGAUACAGGGUCCAGACUCCUACGUGAGGCAGCAGUGGGGAAUAUUGCACAAUGGGCGCAAGCCUGAUGUAGCCAUGCCGCGUGUGUGAAGAAGGCGUGCGGGUUGUAAAGCACUUUCAGCGAGGAGGCGUUACUCGCAGAAGAAGCACCGGCUAACUCCGUGCCAGCAGCCGCGGUAAUAC